rnacentral:rRNA from 1 species
CCUACGGGGUGCUGCAGUCGAGAAUCAUUCACAAUGGGGGAAACCCUGAUGGUGCGACGCCGCGUGGGGGAAUGAAGGUCUUCGGAUUGUAAACCCCUGUCAUGUGGGAGCAAAUGAAAAAGAUAGUACCACAAGAGGAAGAGACGGCUAACUCUGUGCCAGCAGCCGCGGUAAUACAGAGGUCUCAAGCGUUGUUCGGAAUCACUGGGCGUAAAGCGUGCGUAGGCUGUUUCGUAAGUCGUGUGUGAAAGGAGCGGGCUCAACCCGCGGAGGGAACAGGAUACUGGGAGACUAGAGUGAUGGAGGGGGAACGGGAAGUUGUGGUGGAGCGGUGAAAUGCGAAGAU